rnacentral:piRNA from 1 species
UGGAAAAAAGUGAUGACUUCCUCCUUACCC